GAUGAACGCUAGCGACAGGCCUAACACAUGCAAGUCGAGGGGCAUCGGGACGUAGCAAUACGUUGCCGGCGACCGGCGGAUGGGUGAGUAACGCGUAUGCAACCUACCCGUAGCAGGGGGAUAGCCCGUUGAAAGACGGAUUAAUACCCCGUAAACAGGGGCUCCGCAUGGAGAUUAUUGUUAAAGGGUCAUUUCUUUUAGAGGUGGUCCGGCUGCGGAUGGGCAUGCGUUCCAUUAGGUAGUUGGUGUAGGUAACGGCUCACCAAGCCGACGAUGGAUAGGGGAACUGAGAGGUUGGUCCCCCACACUGGUACUGAGACACGGACCAGACUCCUACGGGAGGCAGCAGUGAGGAAUCUUGGUCAAUGGACGCAAGUCUGAACCAGCCAUGUCGCGUGAAGGAGGACGGCCCUAAGGGUUGUAAACUUCUUUUGCAGCGGAAUAAAGUUUGCCACGAGUUGGCGAUUUGCAAGUACGCUGCGAAUAAGGAUCGGCUAACUCCGUG
rnacentral:rRNA from 1 species